UGCAGAGGUCUCAAGCGUUGUUCGGAUUCAUUGGGCGUAAAGGGCGCGUAGGCGGCCACCGCAAGUCAGUUGUGAAAUCUCUGGGCUUAACCCAGAACGGUCAGCUGAUACUGCGGGGCUAGAGUGCAGAAGGGGCAACUGGAAUUCUCGGUGUAGCGGUGAAAUGCGUAGAUAUCGAGAGGAACACCUGCGGCGAAGGCGGGUUGCUGGGCUGACACUGACGCUGACAGCGCGAAAGCUAGGGGAGCGAACGGG
rnacentral:rRNA from 1 species